GCCCCCGUAGCUCAGGGGAUAGAGCGCCGGCCUCCGGAGCCGGGUGCGCAGGUUCGAAUCCUGCCGGGGGCA
rnacentral:tRNA from 1 species